CUGAUAUGGCUCAGUUGGUAGAGCGCACCCUUGGUAAGGGUGAGGUCCCCAGUUCGACUCUGGGUAUCNUG
rnacentral:tRNA from 1 species